rnacentral:rRNA from 1 species
UGGGGGAUAUUGCGCAAUGGGGGCAACCCUGACGCAGCAACCCCGCGUGAAGGAUGAAGGUUUUCGGAUUGUAAACUUCUUUUAUUAAGGACGAAACUUGACGGUACUUAAUGAAUAAGCUCCGGCUAACUACGUGCCAGCAGCCGCGGUAAUACGUAGGGAGCAAGCGUUGUCCGGAUUUACUGGGUGUAAAGGGUGCGUAGGCGGCUUUGCAAGUCAGAUGUGAAAUCUAUGGGCUCAACCCAUAAACUGCAUUUGAAACUGUAGAGCUUGAGUGAAGUAGAGGCAGGCGGAAUUCCCCGUGUAGCGGUGAAAUGCGUAGAGAUGGGGAGGAACACCAGUGGCGAAGGCGGCCUGCUGGGCUUUAACUGACGCUGAGGCUCGAAAGCGUGGGGAGCAAACAGGAUUAGAUACCCUGGUAGUCCACGCCGUAAACGAUGAUUACUAGGUGUGGGGGGACUGACCCCUUCCGUGCCGCAGCAAACGCAAUAAGUAAUCCACCUGGGGAGUACGACCGCAAGGUUGAAACUCAAAGGAAUUGACGGGGGCCCGCACAAGCAGUGGAGUAUGUGGAUUAAUUCGAAGCAACGCGAAGAACCUUACCAGGUCUUGACAUCGUAUGCAUACCUCAGAGAUGAGUGAAAUCUCUUCGGAGACAUAUAGACAGGUGGUGCAUGGUUGUCGUCAGCUCGUGUCGUGAGAUGUUGGGUUAAGUCCCGCAACGAGCGCAACCCUUACUGUUAGUUGCUACGCAAGAGCACUCUAGCAGGACUGCCGUUGACAAAACGGAGGAAGGUGGGGAUGACGUCAAAUCAUCAUGCCCCUUAUGACCUGGGCCUCACACGUACUACAAUGGCUGUCAACAGAGGGAUGCAAAGCCGCGAGGUGGAGCGAACCCCUAAAAGCAGUCUUAGUUCGGAUUGUAGGCUGCAACCCGCCUACAUGAAGUCGGAAUUGCUAGUAAUCGCAGAUCAGCAUGCUGCGGUGAAUACGUUCCC